GCUGCCGAUAGCACGGCCGUUCGCGCCGCGCAAGCCUUGACGAGGUUGGGCUAUACCCAGGUGCAUCGCCUGGCCGGCGGCA
rnacentral:tRNA from 1 species